AUUGUGCACUUGGCGGAGUUAGACCUUCUUCGUGUUUGCCCGUAACCAUUGAUGUGGGGACAAACAAUGAGCAGUUGUUGAAAGAUGAAUUCUACAUUGGGCUCAGACAAAGGAGGGCAACUGGGAAGGAAUAUUAUGACCUUCUUCAUGAAUUCAUGACUGCUGUCAAG